rnacentral:rRNA from 1 species
AAUGAACGCUAGCGGCAGGCUUAACACAUGCAAGUCGAGGGGUAACAUUGGUGCUUGCACCAGAUGACGACCGGCGCACGGGUGCGUAACGCGUAUGCAAUCUGCCUCAUACUGAGGGAUAGCCCAGAGAAAUUUGGAUUAACACCUCAUAGUAUUAUUGAAAGGCAUCUUUUAAUAAUUAAAGGUUACGGUAUGAGAUGAGCAUGCGUCCUAUUAGCUAGUUGGUGUGGUAACGGCACACCAAGGCAACGAUAGGUAGGGGCCCUGAGAGGGGGAUCCCCCACACUGGUACUGAGACACGGACCAGACUCCUACGGGAGGCAGCAGUGAGGAAUAUUGGACAAUGGAGGGAACUCUGAUCCAGCCAUGCCGCGUGCAGGAAGACUGCCCUAUGGGUUGUAAACUGCUUUUAUACGGGAAGAAACACUCCCUCGUGAGGGAGCUUGACGGUACCGUAAGAAUAAGCAUCGGCUAACUCCGUGCCAGCAGCCGCGGUAAUACGGAGGAUGCAAGCGUUAUCCGGAAUCAUUGGGUUUAAAGGGUCCGUAGGCGGAUUAAUAAGUCAGAGGUGAAAUCCUGCAGCUCAACUGUAGAACUGCCUUUGAUACUGUUAGUCUUGAGUUAUUGUGAAGUGGUUAGAAUAUGUAGUGUAGCGGUGAAAUGCAUAGAUAUUACAUAGAAUACCAAUUGCGAAGGCAGAUCACUAACAAUAUACUGACGCUGAUGGACGAAAGCGUGGGGAGCGAACAGGAUUAGAUACCCUGGUAGUCCACGCCGUAAACGAUGGUCACUAGCUGUUCGGUUUCGACUGAGUGGCUAAGCGAAAGUGAUAAGUGACCCACCUGGGGAGUACGUUCGCAAGAAUGAAACUCAAAGGAAUUGACGGGGGCCCGCACAAGCGGUGGAGCAUGUGGUUUAAUUCGAUGAUACGCGAGGAACCUUACCAGGGCUUAAAUGUAGAGUGACAGAUUUAGAGAUAAAUUUUUCUUCGGACACUUUACAAGGUGCUGCAUGGUUGUCGUCAGCUCGUGCCGUGAGGUGUCAGGUUAAGUCCUAUAACGAGCGCAACCCCUGUCGCUAGUUGCCAUCAGGUCAUGCUGGGAACUCUAACGAGACUGCCGGUGCAAACCGCGAGGAAGGUGGGGAUGACGUCAAAUCAUCACGGCCCUUACGUGCUGGGCUACACACGUGCUACAAUGGUGGUGACAGUGGGCAGCGAGACCGCAAGGUCGAGCUAAUCUCCAAAAGCCAUCUCAGUUCGGAUUGUUCUCUGCAACUCGAGAGCAUGAAGUUGGAAUCGCUAGUAAUCGUGGAUCAGCAUGCCACGGUGAAUACGUUCCCGGGCCUUGUACACACCGCCCGUCACACCAUGGGAGUUGGUUCUACCCGAAGGCGCUGCGCUAACCGCAAGGAGGCAGGCGACCACGGUAGGGUCAGCGACUGGGGUG